rnacentral:rRNA from 1 species
AGUGAACGCUGGCGGUAGGCCUAACACAUGCAAGUCGAACGGCAGCACCGUAAGAGCUUGCUCUUACGGGUGGCGAGUGGCGGACGGGUGAGGAAUACAUCGGAAUCUACUUUUUCGUGGGGGAUAACGUAGGGAAACUUACGCUAAUACCGCAUACGACCUACGGGUGAAAGCAGGGGAUCUUCGGACCUUGCGCGAUUGAAUGAGCCGAUGUCGGAUUAGCUAGUUGGCGGGGUAAAGGCCCACCAAGGCGACGAUCCGUAGCUGGUCUGAGAGGAUGAUCAGCCACACUGGAACUGAGACACGGUCCAGACUCCUACGGGAGGCAGCAGUGGGGAAUAUUGGACAAUGGGCGAAAGCCUGAUCCAGCCAUACCGCGUGGGUGAAGAAGGCCUUCGGGUGGUAAAGCGCUUUUGUUGGGAAAGAAAAGCAGCAGGUUAAUACCCCGCUGUUCUGACGGUACCCAAAGAAUAAGCACCGGCUAACUUCGUG